rnacentral:lncRNA from 1 species
AGAAAAUUGACCAAGGUCACACAGCAAGCAUGUGGUGAAUACGUUUUGUUAACCCAGACUGCAAAAAUACCCUUUGCUCAACCCUGUCUAAUCAUUGCAAGUGUCAACAGUCAAAGCUAAUGACAGAAGGUAGGUUUAUGGGGCAGUAACCCUGCCUACUUGGCAUAAAAGAUCCAUUCCCAGAAAAAAGGUUUAAGCAAUCACGUGAACUUCAGUCUAACUAAAGGAGCUUCCGUGGGUUGGUGAUUUUAAAAUAAUGAUUUUUUGAUCAGGUUUUGUAGUUAAUGUUUGAGUGUAGAUAGGUGGAGGAAGGUUGCAGUUGAUGGCUAUUUAAUUAAGUGUAUAGAACAUGAGUCUUAGCCUUAUCUCUUUCAAGAUUAAGCAUAAACCUCCUGUGUGUUUCUCUCUCCACCGAAACACUCAGUGGUCAGGUUAAAUUAAGUUUUCUUUAUUAAACAUUUACCAAAUAUCUGCUAAGUUCCAGGUGUUGCGUUACACCUUUGAGAGUCAAAGAUAAAGAAGUAUGAAAUGGACCUUAACACUUCUCUAUUGGAUUCUGAAUUCCUGCAUCAUAGUUGGCCUUGAGCAUGAUUCACAUACCUGGCUACUCAAUGCAGGCUGUUGCAGAGUUGUCUGCAUAAGAAUUAUCUUGAGAACUCGUUAAAUAUACAGGUUUGGGGGCCACAAUCCCAGAUAUUCUGGUGUAAUAUACCUGGAAAGAAAUACAGGCAUCGAUAUGUUUUUUUUAAAAAGGUUCAGUGG